rnacentral:rRNA from 1 species
AGCGAACGCUGGCGGCAGGCUUAACACAUGCAAGUCGAGCGGGCAUCUUCGGAUGUCAGCGGCAGACGGGUGAGUAACACGUGGGAACGUACCCUUCGGUUCGGAACAACUCUGGGAAACUGGAGCUAAUACCGGAUACGCCCUUAUGGGGAAAGGUUUACUGCCGAAGGAUCGGCCCGCGUCUGAUUAGCUAGUUGGUGGGGUAACGGCCUACCAAGGCGACGAUCAGUAGCUGGUCUGAGAGGAUGAUCAGCCACACUGGGACUGAGACACGGCCCAGACUCCUACGGGAGGCAGCAGUGGGGAAUAUUGGACAAUGGGCGCAAGCCUGAUCCAGCCAUGCCGCGUGAGUGAUGAAGGCCUUAGGGUUGUAAAGCGCUUUUGUCCGGGACGAUAAUGACGGUACCGGAAGAAUAAGCCCCGGCUAACUUCGUG